rnacentral:lncRNA from 1 species
CACAGUGGAAUUUCUGUGGAGCCACACAACAGAGAGCAUGUGUGUUGGAUAUAUGUCAGCCCAGGAUGGGAAAGCCAAGGUAAGUGGGAAAGACUGGGCCACAACCUGAAAGCCUGAUAGCCACUGUAUAAACCUUUAACCAGUUAAGUUGAUAUAGAUGAAUUUUUUUUUCACCUCUUGUGGGCAAUAGCUCUGUGAACUUUAUACAAAUCACAUUAAGAUCUCUUAAUGAUUCAAAAGAAAAACAGCAGAUCUUUUUUACUUUCAGGAGAAAGGGGGAUUAAAAAAAAACCCUGUCUUUUUCCACUUUGCUCCUCUUUGCCCAUUGUGAAUAGUUGGCAAAGAGGAAACUGGGAAUUAGGAAAAGAAAAUGAAAAUAAAACUGAUGAACUGACAUAGAUGGAUGAUUCUGCAAAGAGUGUUGGAAUAGAUAAAGGAAACUGGGGCAAUGUAAGAUUAGCCCCUGGAAAGCAUCUCUGCAUGUUGAUAGCAGAGGUGGCUGACAUGCUUCCAGUUACCACAUAGCUUAUGCUCUGGUGUCCUCAGGGAUGACCUGGAAUGGUUUCUUUGUGUGAAGUCAGAGGGCUUUGCCUCUGUGCACCAUAUGCCUCAGAGAGUCAUAACAAUUACAUAGGUGUCCAUGUAUCAAUUCUUGAGUUGCUUGGCUUCUCUGGACUCAUGAUGGUUGAGCCUGUGAGUAAAAUACAUAAUUUGUGGAAUUUAUUUUAUAUCAGUUUCAUAUUCUUCUUGUAAAUAACAUUUUUAGAAACAGCUGUGACACAUGCCAUUUACUUGACAUUAAAAUGCCUCAGUUGCAAAACUAUGAAGUCAGGCAGCCUCUUUUUAAAAGAAAUGAUUUACUCUACAUAUUUCGAAAGAUCAAGUAAGGAAAUCUCUGAUAUAAGCCAUCUGAAACAGAUUGAAUCAUUAACAAAUAAAGAGUAAAUGUAUAGUCAUGCACCAUAUAAGAUUAUUUUGAUAAAAAAUGGGUUGUACAUAUAAUGGUGAUCUCAUAAGAUUUAUAUUGAACAAGCCUGAUUAACAACACAAGUGGUUUAUCAGGAUAUGAAUGAUUUGCAGCCAUUUAAGUUUCUCUCAUACUUAACAUAUUGAUCCUGAUUAGAUUGCUUUUUUUAACAAAAGAACAUGCAUGAGAUAUGCUUCAGCACUAAGGCCAGUCUGCUGGGGUACCGUCAUGGUAUCUUGUGUGGAAAUGUUUUUAUUAUCCCUGCUGGUGGUCUGUGGAAGACACCUUAUCAUUUAACAUGAAAUACUAUAAAGAAAUUGGAGAGAACAGUGAACCCAAACAUGUUUGACCUCCAGUUGUAUCAUUUGACAUCUGGUAGAUGUGGUUUUUAUAUUGUUGGUAAAGUCUUCAGCUGAUAGUCUUAUUGGGCCAGCAGAUACAGCUGUUUCCCUUGCUUCACUUGUAAAUGAUGUUUUUGACCUUCCUUUCAGAGAGUUAAUCCCUCUCCCUUUUUUCCUCCUUUGGAUUGGUGGACUACAAAUGCUUUCCAGAAAAACAAAAUAAUUUUAAUUCUAACGCUUUGGCUGCUGAAUUCUGCUAAUUUAAAAAAAAAAUAAAAUCCUUUUUUUCCCCAUAAACACUGGAAUGUUAUUGUAUUAUGAGUAAGACAAACUUAUAGAUGAUAAGCUAGACUUGAAAGAGAUAGGGAGCUAUAGCAGAAUUCAUUUUCCUUUUAAGAGAAUAAGACUUGGACUUACCCCUUUGUUUUCUACAUCUGAGACUCCUGGCUUCUGUGAAAGAAUUGUUGUUUUGGAGGCUUUGUGAAAUAUGCUCUUCCAUAAGAUAGUCAUGAUAGCAAAAUGAGUAAGGAAAUAUCUUUAAAAGUUUUUUUUUUAAUUUAAAAACUAUUUUUAAAGUUCAAAACACCACAAACAAGAGCAACAACUUUCCCCCCGGUUUUCUAAAAAUUCCCUGCUUUAUCCUUGCUGCCAAACUCAGAAACUAAAGCUACUUGGCCACUUGAGUAUUUUAUAUGUUAGUUGUUUGUAAUUCAGGUUAAAAGCCUUGAAUUAAAGCUCAUCUCAAAAUCAUGCUGCUCAGAAAAGAAUGAGUAAUAAUCAAUAUUAUUUUGACCAGAAUCCAUAUAGAAUUUGAAGAUAGCUAGAUUCUUCCUCAAAUUUCUUUUUCUAAAAAGAAUAUUCUUUUUUAUGUAAUUUUUUAAAAAUUUAUAUAUGACAGCAGAAUGCAUUACAAUUCUAUAUAUAUAUAUAUAUAUAUAUAUAUAUAGCACAAUUUUUCAUAUCUCUGGUUGUAUACACAGUAUAUUCACACCAAUUCGUGUCUUCAUACCUGUACUUUGAAUAGUAAUGAUUGUCACAUUCCACCAUCAUUAAUUAUCCCAUGUCCCCUCCUUUCCCCUCCAACCCCUCUGUCCUAUCUAGAAUUCGUCUAUUCCUCCCAUGGUCCCCUUCCCUAUCCCACUAUAAAUCAGCCUCCUUAUAUCAAAGAAAACAUUUGGCAUUUGGUUUUUUGGAUUGGCUAACUUCACUUAGCUUCAUCUUCUCUAACUCCAUCCAUUUUCCUGCAAAUGCCAUGAUUUUAUUCUCUUUUAUUGCUGAGUAAUAUUCCAUUGUGUAUAUAUGCCACAUUUUUUAAUCCAUUCAUCUAUUGAAGGGCAUCUAGGUUGGUUCCACAGCAGUUUAGCUAUUGUGAAUUGUGUUGCUAUAAACAUUGGUGUGGCUGUGUCCCUGUAGUAUACUGUUUUUAAGUCCUUACACCAAGGAGAGGGAAAGCUGGGUCAAAUGGUGGUUCCAUUCCCAAUUUUCUAAGAAAUCUCCAUACUGCUUUCCAUAUUGGCUGCACCAAUUUUCAGUCCCACCAACAGUGUGUGAGUGUAACUUUUUCCCCACAUCCUUGCCAACAUUUAUUGUUGUUUGUAUGCAUAAUAGCUCCCAUUCUGACUGGAGUGAGAUGAAAUCGUAGAGUGGUUUUGAUUUACAUUUCUCUAUUUGCUAGUGAUGAUGAAGAUUUUUUCAUGUAUUUGUUGAUUGAUUUUAUAUCAUCUUCUGAAAAGUGUCUAUUCAGGUCCUUGGCCCAUUUAUUGAUUGGGUUAUUUGGGUUUUUUUUUUUUGGUGUUUAGCUUUUUGAGUUCUUUAUAUACCCUCGUGAUUUGUGCUCUAUCUGAUGUGUGAGGGGUAAAGAUUUGCUCCCAAGAUGUAGUCUCUCUAUACACCUCACAGAUUGCUUCUUUUGCUGGGAAGAAGCUUUUUAGUUUGAGUCCAUCACAUUUAUUGAUUCUUGAUUUUAAUUCUUGUGACACAGGGGUCUUAUGAAGGAAGUUGUGGCCUAAGCCCACAUGAUGGACAUUAGGGCCUACUUUUUCAGGGUCUCUGGUUUUAUUCCUAAGUCCUUGAUCCAUUUUGAGUUGAGUUUUGUGCAUGGUGAGAGAUAGGGGUUUAAUCUCAUUUUGUUGAAAAAGAAUAUUCUUAUAAUUAUAUAAUUUAAUUUAGUUUCUAUAGCAUAAGGCAAAGAAAUUUAUUUUUAAUGGAACCAAAAUCAAGGCUUUGAUACCAGUUGGAUUUUAAAACUAUAUUGUCCCAUAUCCUAGAUAGUAGAUGGUUUAAUGAACAGUUUUUCAUAAAUAACUCAGUGUAUGUGAACUACUGGAAUAAAAUAGAUUUUUUAAAUGGCAUGGAACUUAUUCAAGUAUAAUAAGUGAAAUUAGAUUUUUUAAAAAUAUGUAGAGGCCACUCUUUAUAACAAGAGUAAAAAUGUAAUAAUAAAAAUUCUUCCUCAAGAAGGAAUAGUCUGUUUUAUCUCUAGAGAUUUAUUAUUAGUUGUGGGGGAAAUAAGAACUAUAUAAUGGAGAAUCCAGGCAACAAACAACUCAAUUGUGUGAUCAAAAUACCACCAUUGAGGGGCAAAUGGACAGUAUGUACCUCUGAAUGUGAUAACCUGAGAAGAAUACAACAUAAUUUAUACAUAGUAUUCUGUCUAGAUGUACAUAACCUGAACCUAAUCAUGAGAAAACAUCAAAUAAGUCAGAAAUGAGGAACAUGCUGAAAAGAAAGAAAAAAGGGACUAUUCACCAAAAAUGUCAGUGCCAUAAAGACAAAGGCUGCACAAAUAUUUCAGAUUAUACAAUACUGAAGCAACAAUGACAACUAAUGUCAAUAACUGAUCUUAGACUGGAUUAUAUAUGAGAGGGGGGAAUGUCAUAAACACAUUAUUAACUCAGCUUGAAUACUGGAACAUGAGUAGUAAAAAUGAAUUAUAUAAUCAUUAAAUUUACUAAGGCUGAUAACUGUAUUGGGAUGAAUAGGGAAAUAUCUUAUUUUUAGAAAAAUUACACUGAAGUUUCUAAGGGUAAAAGGCCAUAAUAUAUAUAAUGUCUUCUCAAUGAUUUAGAAAAAAUAUUAUGUGUAUGUGUGUAUGAAUGAAUGAAUGUGUGUAUAGAUAGUACAUUAUAAAGCAAAUGGAGCAAAAUGUUUACAAUAGGUGAAUCUUAGUAAAGGAUGCAUUGUUUCUUCAACUGUUCUGUAAGAGAAAAAUUAUUUUCAAAUGAAAAUUUUCAAAAUAUAUCAUUCUUGCAUAUUAUGGCAUAUUUGAUUAUUUCUUUGGGCCUCACACUUGAAGUGAUAUAGUUCAAAAAAUAUCAUCCUUGGUUUAUAACCAAUUCUGCAUUUAAUGAAUGAAUACAUUACUCCAAACUCCUGCCUUUAUUUCACUUGGAGUUCUUCACUGAAUUAACCAAAAAAUAUUUAAACAACAAUACAUUUCUUUUUUUAAAAUUUGUUUUAAUUAGUUAUACAUGACAGUAGAAUGCACUUAUAUACUUUGAUGUAUCAUACAUAGAUGGAAUAUAAUUUCUCAUUUUUCUGAGUAUACAUAUUGUAGAAUCACAUUGGUCAUACAGUCACAUACAUACAUACAGUAAUAAUGUCUCUUUUAUUCUACUAUUUUUUUUUAUCCCCACAUCCCCUUCCUUCCCCUCCUCUCACUUCCCUCUACCUAAUCUAAGGUAACAUUAUUUUUUUUCUUUUGCAUUACAAUUCUUAAUACACAUAAAUACCACACUUUUUGUAUUUCUGUUUGUAUAUAAAGUAUGUUGACAUCCAAUUCAAGUCUUCAUAUAUGUACUUUGUAUAAUGAUGACCAUCACGUUCCACCAUGCUUGUUAUUCCCCUACCCCCCUCCUUUCCCUCCACCCCUCUUCCCUAUCUUGAAUUCCUCUAUUCAUCCCAUGCUUUCCCUCCCUAUCCCAAAAAUGCUCAUCAUCUCUAGCAAUCAGAGAAAUGCAAAUCAAAACCACUCUAAGAUAUCAUCUCACUCCAGCUAUUAUGAAGACAAACAACAAUAAGUGUUGGCGAGGACGUGGGGGAAAAUGUACACUCAUACAUUGCUGGUGGGACUGCAACAGUUUGUGCAGCCAGUUUGAAAAGCAGUAUGUAGAUUCCUUGGAAAACUGGGUGUGGAACCACCAUUUGACCCAGCUAUUCCUCUCCUUGGACUAUAUCCAAAGGACUUAAAAAUAGCAUAUUACAGGGACACAGCCACUUCAAAGUUUAUAGCAGCACAAUUCACAAUAGCUAAACUGAGGAGCCAACCUAGAUGUCCUUCAGUGGAUGAAUGGAUUUUAAAAAAUGUGGCAUUUAUACACAAUGAAAUUUUACUCAGCAUUAAAAAGAACAAAACCAUGCCAUUUGCAGGUAAAUGGAUGGUGUUGGAGAAGAUAAUGCUAAGUGAAGUCAACCAAUCCCCAAAAAAACAAAUAGCAAAUGUUUUCUCUGAUAUAGAGAGGUUGACGCAACAAUACAUUUCUUAAAAAUACUUUGUGAGCUCUUUGUAUGGUAGUAAUGUUUGUUUUCUGUCUGGAUCUAUGAGAGAUUAAGCUUUCAUUAUGAAAGUUCUAUCACAUUAGAGUACCUUUCAGAACAUUUCUCAGCUUUUUGUUUUUAUUUAAACAAAAAUAUCAACAAAUGUUUAUUCAUGAUAUUCCUCUGUUCUGUGUGUCAAGACCUAUGACAUGCUUUGACACAUGUUAAUGAAACAGGAUGAAUGUUGCCCAUGCUAUUAUUUCCUUUUGAUCAGGCAAUGGUUUCUUAGAUAUGACCCCAAAAGUACAAGCAACAAAAGAAAAAUUAAAUGUGACAUCAUAAAAUUAAAAACUUGGUGCUUCAAGGAACACCAUCAAGAAAGUUCACACCUGUAAUCCCAUGGCUCCUGAGUCUGGGGCAGGAGGAUUGUGAGUUCAAAGCCAGCUUCAGCAACUUAGUUAGUCCCUAAGCAACUCAUGAGACCCUUUCUCUAAAUAAAAUAUAAAAAAGGGCUGGGGAUUUGGGACUCAGUAAUUAAAUGCACCUGGGUUCAAUCCCUGAUUAUAAAUAAAAAAAGAAAAGAAAAGAAAGAAAAUGAAAAGGCAAGCCACAGAAUAAGAAAAAAUAGGGCUGGGGUUAUGGCUCAGCAGUAGAGUGCCUGCCUAGUACAUGUGAAGCACUGGGUUAAAUCCUUAGCACCACAUAAAAAUAAAUUAAAAAAUAAAGGUAUUGUUUUCAUCAAAAAAGAAGAAAGAAAAAUAUUUGCAAAUUAUAUACUUAGUAAAGACUUGUAUCCCUUGAGAAUAUAUUUUAACUUAAUAAUAAGAAAACAUGGGCAAAGGAUUUAAAAGACAUUUCUCCAAAGAAGAUAUACAAGUAGCAAAUAAGUAUAUGAAAAUAUUCUCAACAUCAGAAGUCAUUAGGGUAAUACAAUCAAUACAAUCAAUCAACAAGUACAUGAAAAAAUGCUCACCAUCUCUAGCAGUCAGAGAAAUGCAAAUCAAAACCACCCUAAGAUACCAUCUCACUCCAGUAAGAUUGGCAGCCAUUAUGAAGUCAAACAACAACAAGUGCUGGAGAGGAUGUGGGGAAAAGGGUACUCUUGUACAUUGNUCUGUAUUUGGGGUAAAAUUGGGAGUUCAUAACCAACUUGAAUCUAAUGUAUGAAAUAUGAUAUGUCAAGAGCUUUAUAAUGUUUUGAACAACCAAUAAAAAAAUAAAAAUAAAAAACAAAACAAAACAAAACAAAAAAAAAACCACAAUGAUAUCCUACUUUCCAUCCAACUAGCUGGCUAUAUAAUCAAAAAGAUGAACAAAAUAACAAGUGUUAGUGAGGAUUGGAGAAAUUGAAAACCUUAGGAAUUUCUGUUGGGAAGGUAAAAACAGUGCACCCCUGCUUUGAAAAAGAGUUAGUCAGUUCCUCAAAAAGUUAGAUGUAAGAGUUGCCAUAUUACCCAGCAAUUCCAUACCUCUUAAGGAUAUUUCCAGGAAAAUUUAAAAAGAUGUGUUCACACAAAAAUUUAUACAUAGAUGUUGAUAGCAGCAUUAUUUAUAUUAGUUAAAAAGCCAAAUAACCCAAAUGCCCAUCAAGUGAUGAAUAGAUAAAAAAUGUGAUAUGCUAUGUCUUUUGAAAACUAUAGAAGAUAUUUCUCCCAUCUGAUUUAGUAUUCAGAUUACUUAUAUUCUCAAAGUUCAAGUAUGUAAAAUAAUUAUAGGUAUCUGCAAAUCAGAUGUAAUUUGUGUGGUCUUUUAACCCCUAUUGUAUUAAUAACAUUUUCAAUGACAACCUUACUACUUGCAUAUGUGCUUGCAUAUAUUUAUAUAGAUUGAUCACAUUCUAAAAUUUAAAUAUAUCAGUAAUAGUUUCAGAAAUGUGAUACAUUUAUACAAUGGAACAUUAUUCAGCUAUAAAAAGGAAAGGAAUACUGAUACAUACUGUAGCCUGCAUGAACUUUGGAAACUUAAGUGAAAGAAGAUAGACACAAAAGGCUAAAUAUUGUAUGAUUCCAUUUAUAUUAAGUGCCUGGAAUUGGAAAUCCAUAGAGACAGAAAGUGGAUUAGUGGUUGCAAGUGAAAAGGGGGAAGGAUAUGGGGAGUGACUUCUAAUGAGUAUGGGGUUUCUUUUUGAGGUAAUGAAAAUGUUCUGAAAUUAGAAAGUUGCACACUUUGUAAAUAUACUAAAAGCCACUGAAUGGAACACUUGAUUUAAAUGGGUAAAUGUUAUGGCAUAUGAAUUAUGUCAGUAAAAUUGUUAAACUAUCAACCAAUAUAAUUUACUGUAUUACCAAAAUAAGGAGAAAAAAUAUAUUUGUUCUGAUACCAUAGAUUUUUAAAUUUUUUAAUUUGUUUUAAUUAGCCAUAUGAUUUUUUUCAACUUCUAUUUAUUAUAAAAACUUCAAAAUAACAGAAAUGGGAGGAACUUCCUCAGUCCAAUAAAAGGGCAAUUGCCAAAAACCUAUGACUAAAAUCAUACUUAUUGGUGAAACAUGGAAUAUUUUUUCUAACACUUAGAACAGGAAAAUACAGUUUCAUUCACAUUACCUCCAUUCAGUAUUUUACUGGAAUUCCAAAUUAGUACAAUAAAAUAAGUAAAAGAAAUAAAAGACAAAAGUUGGAAAGGAAGCAAUUAAAAAACUACAGUUUUUCUCAGAUUAUAUGGGAUGAAUCUAACAAAUGAUGUAGUAGACCUUUCUCCUGGAAACUACAAAACCUUGCUGGGAGAGAUAGAAGAAAACCUAAAUAAAUGGAGAUAUUAUUCAUGAAAUAUAAAACUCACAGUAAUGCUAAGAUACUCAUUCUUUCCAAAUUUAUUCAUAGAUUCAAAGCAGUCCUAAUCAAAUUUCAGCAGUUUUUGUUCUAUAACUAAGCUGGCUUUAAAAUUUAUAUAUGGAAAUUUAGAGGACCUAGAAUUGUAAAAAUCAACUUUAAAAGAGAAGAUGAAACUUAGAGGGCUUAUCCUACUGGACUUUUAUGACUUACCACAGGGUUACUAUAGUUAAGACAGUGUUCCCCAAUAGAAGACAACCCUGAACUCAGUGUAUCAGAAGUUCUGAGAUCAGCAGGAAUACCACUUUAGUCUUCUGCAGUUUAAAGGAAGGAGAUUACCAGAUAUGCUGAUGCAGCGAGAUCCAACAGAAACCGCAGAUAUUAUACAAUCACUAUCUUAGAAAUAUAGAUGGGAACUUGUGAUUCAAGAAUUAGGAUUUAUCCAGUUCUGGAAGUCCAGAAUAAACACUGGCAGUGUAGAUGCCAUUUGUCAUCAAAGGAAGGAGCUGUCUUUACAAUAAAGAAUUUCACAUUACAAAUGAAAAAUUAUAUACUCAACUGUAAUAAAAUAUUAUUUAAAAAGUGAAGGAGAUACUUUAAAUGAACACUUGUAUCUCAUAAUAGAUGGAUCUUAGUUUCUUCACAAACUUACCUAUUAUUUAUGUACUCUAUAAUGUACUUCAAGUAAGAAUAUGUUUUAAAUGUUAGUCUAUUAAUGUUUUCUUGAUUACCAAGCAUUCCCAGGAUUGAAAUAUUAAGAGCAUACUAUUACUAGUAAACUAUCACAGGUUUCCCAUAAUUUCACUUUUAUUUCAGUCUGCUUGGGGAUGGAAAUAAUUUGCCAGACAAUUGCUGUUUUGAAAGUGGAUGAGAGUCAGUGAAAUGAUGACCCCAUUAUUUAUUCUUAAUUCUCUUUUUAAAUUAUAAGGUUAUGUAAAUAUAAUUAGCUUAAUAAAUGUUUCCUAUUCUGUAAGAGUGAAAAUAUAACCUAGGUAAAACAGGUAACUUUGUGGUAUUUUGAUCUGGAAGAUAAUGAAAGAUUAUUUGUAAAUAAUAAAAGAUUAUACUCAGAAAACAAAAGAUCACAAUGAAUAUAGAAUAGGAAUAAACAGUGGGCUAGCAAUUAUAAUUUUUUGAGGAAUAUAACAAGAAGUCAUUUAUUAUUUGAUUGUUUUACCAUUUUGAUUGUGAUUGUGUGUAAGUCUUUUUUUGCAGUGUAGAGUGUUGACCAGGGACUCAAGCAUACCAGGCAAAGUGCUCUACCACUGAGCAUAGCAUCAGCCCUGUAUAUCUUGGUGACCAUUAACUUUCUCAAAUUUAAUGUCCAAAAACCUCACAUCAUCCUAAAUAUUUACCUAAAUAAAGCAGUUUAUAAAACUUUAAUAAGGUCUUCCUGUGCCAAGGGUAAAGCCUCCCAGAGCUAAAUAAAUUCUCUUCUAUAUCUUUGAAAGAACCCAGAAGCAUUGUGUUUCAUGAAUAAAGCCAGAUACAAAAGAGUGCUGGGUGAAUUAUUCCAUUUGUACCAAGUUCUGGAAAACUAAGAUAUGGUUAUACAAACCCAGAAAUGCUUAUAAAAGUAACAUGAAGGAAUUUGGGGGCAUAAUAGAAAUAUUCUUUACAGAAAACUUUCUAUUUAUAUUUUGGUUUUGUGGUUAUACAAAUUGUCAGAAGUCAUCAAACCAUUUAGUGAACGUCUAUACAUUUCAUAGAAUGUUGGUUAUGACUAUUUUUUGGAAGUCUGAAAAUAAGUAUUAGCAAGACCAUACAGAGGUAGUGUGGUGGAAUGAUUAAAAGAAUGGGUUUGGGACUUAGUCAUGCUUGGAUUUAAAUCCCAGAGUCCAUGCUUUAAAACUCAGGGCAUAUUCUUGGUUUCCUUAUCUUUAAAGAGGGACUAUCACUACUUGUUUGAUAGCAUUCUGAAAAUUGAUUGAAUGUUAUAAGUGAAGUGUAUGUAAUAGAAACUUCAUUAAUUAUGAUGGUCAUUGAUGGUGAUGAUAGUUGUAGAGGAUGGGGAAAUUGUGAAGGAUAUCAGAGUCGUUACACCACACAGCUCCCCAAGCCCCAUUUACACUAUAGUUGUGCUCUUGAAGGUGCCAUUUACAUGUACUAAGAUGAUCAAUAUUUCCUGGAUUUUCACCCUGCUUCCUAGGUAGAGAUGGUAGGUUUGGGUAAAAUCUUACUAACGUGUAAGUAUAAAUGAACUGACAAGUAAAUUCAGAGGUCCCAGGACAGGGGAAAAAAAGGGAAGGAUGGGGGGAAUUGAAGAAACCAGAAUGGAUACCCACCCCCAUAUCUGUAGUUUAGGUCAAUAUGGUGGUAAUGAAGCCUUUUCAAAAACUAUUCGACUAGAGGUUUACCAGUUUAACAGUAUAACAACUUAGUUUUUUCUUUCUUUUUGAAAUCUAAGGUUUGCCUGUAAUAUUUCUUAUAAACUCACCUAAAAUAAUACUUCUUUUAAAAGUAAAAGGGAAAAAUGUUGCUUACUAGCUACUUUUAAAUUUGUCUUACAUGAGCCUUGAGCAGACUGGCAGUCUUCUUGGAUUCCAUUUAGCAUUGGUCAGUAGAGUGCCUUUGAGUUAUAUUGAUGAUACAUACCUUAAAAGAGACUUCAGUUCAGAUGGUAGCAGCUGGUGACACUGGGUCAGCCAAUGGAUGUGUUGGGCUAUAUGGAUUUAUUAGUACUUAUGGAUUUGUUGGAUUAUAUUUUAGAUUUAUCAGAGUCAUCUAGAUGCAAGUUUGGCUUUAUCCUAAACCAAAUUUUAGUUGCUUUUGAUAAUAUAGUCCUCAUAUUACCCAACAACUGAAGGCAUCUGAUUCCUGGCAGGAAGCCAGCUGCCUCAAGAUAGUAGGUUAGGUACCACCAAAAAGCUAUGUACUAAGAAAACAUGCCAGACAGCUAAAUUUGGCAAAUGUACUAAUAGACCACCGGAAAAGUGGCUAAUCAAUGAUUUCAACUUGUACCUUUUAAGUUUGCCCAGAAUUUCAAAUGUAGAAACUUUUAUUUCUUUUCCAUGCUCUCAGAGCUGUCAGUAAGAUCCCACUGGGUCUAUUUAGAACGUCCUUUAGACAAUCAGAAGAUUGCAGAAAAUUGAAUAUGUGAAAAUCAAACUGUAAGACAGAACUUUCCUCAAGUUCUGAGGAAAAACAAGUUAAUUUCUAAGAGUAGUUGGUAACUUUAGUUUUGCCUAAUUAGUCUUACACCAUCAACUUCUUCCAAAUGAUUCAUCUGACAUUGCUCCAAAGCAAUAAAUAGAAUAACCACAAAGAGGGAAUUAACUGUGUUGGCAAGAGCAUAAAUCUUCUCAGAGGUAUGAACCAUAUUUGUUCAAGUAAAUCUCAUUUUAAUCAUGGUAUUUGGUUAGAUCUGUCUGUGCAAAGAUAAAUGUCUAGUACUUGGACUAGUAGAUUUUCCAUGUUAGUUGAAAAGAGGGAAUAAACUUUUAUUUUGGUUAUAGCAACAUGAAAAAUAAUGAAAACACAAAUUUCUCUACAUAGUUACAUGGCUUUCAAUCAUAAUUGUGAACUUAACAUUAGAGUGUCACUUUGUUAUCUUCUAGUACCCAACAUUUUAGACAGAUAUGUGCUGUUGCAGGCAGAAGGGUGCCUGCUGUUUUCCCACAGGACAUAUACCAUUGCAUGUAAAUGAGACAAGUGUACUUGAGAAUGAUUACCCUUAAUACCUAUAGUGAGUGAGUAAUUACAUAAUGGUGUUUUCUUUCUUUUAGUUGGGAAGUGGUAGACAAGUGAUGAAAGAAAUCUUUUCUUGUUUUUUUUUUUUGCCGGGUAAUCUCAAGACAAGACGGUUAUCUUGGUCUUGUUGUUCUUAUUUUGUACAAGUAAUUUCCUAACCUGAAGCAAGGUUUUGGUUUCUAUGAUUGUAAAUAUUCAGGAUCCUCCAUUGACUUUAUGCUAUAACAACUUUUAUUACAUUAUUUUAUUAAAUACAUGAAUAACAAUAAUAGAAUUGACUAAGGAUAUAGUAUAUGUGGUAGUACCAAUGGCCACACAGGGUCUAGCACAUAGUAGGCCUUUUGUAAAUAUAUCUUUAAUAAGUGACUCCAUGUUGGGACUUAGGGUAGAACUGCUAUGGACACAAGAUUUUGUCCCCACGGUCCUUCCUUUUCAGGUGCUUCCUUUUAUCUCUAGAUUUGAGAUAAAAAAAAGCUGGAUGAAUCAAAUCAGUUUUUAAACAUUUUUAAAAAUUAUAUAAACAUUUUAAAUUUACAUAAAAUACUAAAUUUAACAUAUGGUUUAAACAUUUUAAAUUUUAUAUAAAAAACUGAUUUAUUUCCUCCUAUAAGAGCAGAAGACUUGACAAUGAAGCAAAUAAGUGGUCAUCAUUCUGGUGAGGCCUGGGUACUUCUUUGACAGUCCUAUACCUGGUCUACCUACCUUACAGGCAUGUAAGAGUGACCCCUGUUGUAGAUUUUGAGCCCUAAACAAAGUCUGUCUGCUAGAAUACAUAUUCAUUCCCAUAUCAUUCACCCAACAAAGAUAGUUUCCGUAUUUUUUUAAGGUCUUCAUGUUGGAAUGCCCAUUCUAUUUAAUCCUAAGGACUAAAAAUUCUUUGUGAUAGAAACUAAGUGUGUUUUAUGUCUUGUAUAUAAAGCAGUAAUGUAAAUUGGUGAAAACAUUACAUUUUAGUAUUAACUAAUUGAGACAUUUGGCUAUGGUUAAGCUAUUCUAUUUACAUUCCUUUCAAAUACUUCUGGAUACAAUAAGUGGUAGGUACUGACAAUUUACUUUUAUGCUCUUGAGCUGUCAUCACUGUACUUACAUGUUUGGACUAUACUGUCUGCUGCAGUGUUGAAGGGAUGAAAAGAAACUUACUUAAGGAUGGGGAUUAUAUUAACACUGUUGUUAUGAGAUGCUCAAAAUACUUGCACACAGCUUUUUCUUGAAAUAGAAAGAGUAAUAGUAUUUUAAAUGUGUCCUCUGUAAUAGGUGAGAAAGCCAAUAAUUUCCAAUUUCUUCCAUUGAUGGUUCUUAGAGAUAAUUUUUUUUUUAAAGACAGAGUGAGAGAGAGAGAGAGAGGGAGAGAGAGAGAGAAUUUUAAUAUUUAUUUUUUAGUUCUCGGCGGACACAACAUCUUUGUUUGUAUGUGGUGCUGAGGAUCGAACCCGGGCCGCACACAUGCCAGGCGAGCGCGCUACUGCUUACACCACAUCCCCAGCCCAGAGAUAAAAUUUUGAAUAGUUAGAAUGUACUAACUAUACUGCUCCAUUAAAAAUGUCUAUGAUACAUAUUUUUUUUAAAUUCCUACAAGUUUUCAAAGGUUCAUAGUCAGACAGGAAGUCUUUAAAUUGAAGACCUUUGAGGUAUGAUAAGUUCCUUAAUCUAGAAAUUUAUGGUUUUUGUUCAGUAUGCCAUAUUUUGGGGAAAAAAUAAAAUUUAUAAGAUUUUUCACCAUCAAAGGUGACAAAAAGGCAUUUCUUUAUAACUUCAUUUAACCAGCAAGAACUUAUUACAGUGGCUAGUAAUGACUGACUAGCAAGGAUACCUGAGUUAUUUGACUUUUCAAUUUUUUGCUAUUAAAAAAAAACUCAGUUUGCUUAGGAGAAGAAUUUUGACAAAAAACAAUAUCUCUUCUUUUUCAAGAAUUAUUUUUUAAAUAAACACUACUGAGUACCUUCUGUAUUUAGGUGCUUUUCUGGGGAUAUAAAAAUGAGCGAAAUAGACAAGGAUCCCUGUGCUAGCAGAUUUAGAUGCUUAUGGAGGAAACAAUAUAAUCAUGGCAUAUACUUGGCAAGGAGAUGGAAGCUGGAUGGAUUAAGACAGUAUUAGGUAGGCCUCACUGAGAAGGUGACAUUUAAAUAGUGUUGGAAGAUUUAUGGGAGUGAGGCAGGAACAUUCCAGGCAUAGGGAACAGCAAGUGCAAAGACCCUCAAGUAGGAGUGUGCCUGCUAUGUUGUAGGAACAGUGAAGAAGUCAGUUUUAAUGGGUUGUAAUAGUGGUGGAGGACCAGAUCAUGUAGUCAUUGUCAGAAUUUUGACUUUUCCUUUGAGAUGGUAGCCGGAAACAUGAUCUUACUUGCAUUUUAAGGGACCACUCUAGAGCUGGGAGUGGUAACAAAGACCUGUAAUCCUGGCUACUCACAAGGCUGACACAGGGAUAUUAAAAGUUCAAGGCCUGCCUGGGCAAUGUAGUGAGAUCCUGUCUCAAAAUAAAAUUUUUAAAAAGGGCUGGGGCUAUAGCUCAUUGGUAAAGCACUUGCCUAGCAUGUGUGAGGUACUGGGUAUGAUCCUCAGUACCACCAAAAAAAUAAAAAGAGGCUAGUCCAGCUGCUGAAAGAGAGGCAGGUAGGAGGUCAUUGUCAGGUAAGAGAUAAUAAUGACUGGACUUGAGCAUUAGCCAUACAGAUGAUGUGAAGCUGUUGUCUUCUGUGUAUUUUUUAAGAUAAGGCAAUUAGAAUUUGCUGAUAGGUUGAAUGGAAAUAUGAGGGAAAUAGAAAAGGCUCCUAAGAUUUUGGUCUAAGUAGUUAGAAGAGUAGGGUUGCCAUUUACUUAGGUGGAGGGGAGGAAAAUUUGAGGGAAAGAAGUGGGAAUCUUGUUAGACAUGUUAAUUCUGAGAUACCUGUUAAGUAUUGAGUGGGCAUGUCCAGAAGAUAGUUGGAUGCAUAUGUCUGAAGAGAAGACUAAACUGGAGAUAUAUAUACAUUUGGUAAUCUUGGAUGAUAUCACCGAGGGAGUAAAUACGGACAAGAGAAGAGAGACCUGAAGAACUCCUUUAAUUUGGAGAACCAAUCAAGGGGACUAGGAAGUCAUGAUCAUAGAGGUAAGAAGAGAGGAAAAGUGAGCAUAAUAUUUUAAACACUGAAGGAAGAACUAUUUUCAGGGAGGAGAGUGUGAUCAACUUUACCACAUGAUUGUUGCUGGGCCUCUUGAAAUUAGGGAAGUUGAAUUUGACAUUGGAAACCAUUUUGUUAAGAGGGGAAUAGUACAGAGGUCAAGGUAAAAACCAUGACCGUAGAGGUUUACAAGAGAAAGAAAGGAAAGAAUUUGAGGUCACAAGUGUGAACAACUUUUUCAAAGAACUUAAAUGGAAGUAAAGAAAGAGAGUGGUAACUAGAGGAGGAGGUAGAAUUGAUACUUUACUAUACACACUACAGAUAUUUUUCUAUGAAAUAAAUGGAAAACAAGUGGUUCAACUUACUGAGAUACCUGGAACACUCCAACAUGUACUGGUUGGGGAGGUGAGAAAAAACCAGCACAGGAAACUGAGAUUCAGUUUUGGAGUCAAAUAAAGGGAAGUCUGAGAAUAUUUGUUGUAAUAAUUGCAGGUAUGACUGGUAUUAAAGGAUGCCAUGCCUUCACAUUCAGGAUGAAUUGGCUUAAACAGAUUUCUUGAUUGUAGUAUGUCUGAAUUUUCUGUGCUCCUAUACCUAACUAUGUCUAAGAAUGGAAUGAGGCAGAGCAGUAAGUUUGCCACACUGCCCUCCCCUCCUUUCCUCUCCUCUCCUCUCUUCUUCCUCCAGAGAGUACCUCCCAGGACCCAGCAGAAGUCAGGGAAAUUUACGUCACAGUGUCUUAACAGUUCUUUGAAGUUGCAUGGGUCUGGUCGAUAAGAAGUCAAAAAGCAGGUGAUUUUGACAAGGAAAACUUUCUUUAAAGAAUUUGGUUUUUAAUUUUACUCCUCCUAAAUUCCUCACUGACAGAUCAACUGAGAUUCUCAGGAAAUAGUCCAUUACACAAAUAGUAGUUUUACUCUUUAUGAUUGUUUAAACAUUAGCCUUUCAUUUCUUUUCAAAUACCAGAUGCUCUUGGAAAGAGUAAUAUCAAUGUUAUCUGGUAGCUUACCAACCAGAAGACUGUAACUGAUGUUUUGGAUUUUCACCUACUACAAAUAAUGAGGAUGUUGCGACCUCCCCAGAAAGUUCUUUACAAAGAGGAGACUAGGCAGCUGUCUUUACCAAGAAAAUGGUGGCCUAGAACCUCCCCUAUGGACCUUAGGGGAAGCCCCCAGCAUCUGCAUAGAAGUUGGGAUCAACUGAACCCUCAUUCUGCAGAGCCCAGAUAGAUUCUUUCCUUUUAGCUUAGUAUCUCCCUGCCCCUUCAGAGAAGAAAUGCCUGAGUCAAGUUACAGAUCUAAGGUCUCACAGCUACAAAGUUGUGGAGCUAAGUGAGUCCAGACACACAAUCUUUUUUUAAAAAUUUUUUUAGUUGUUGAUGGACCUUUAUUUAUUUAUAUGUGGUGUAGAGAAUUGAACCCAGUGUCUUAUACAUGCUAGGCAAGUGCUCUACCACUGAGCUACUACCCCAGCCCUAGACACACAAUCUUAACUCCAGAACUCAAGCUUCUAAUCACUUAAAACCUCAUGACUUUGGGAGUCACAAACUAGGAAGUGACUUAAUUAGAGAGGUAUAUUUGAGAAUUUCAGCAUGUAAAUGCUGUACAAAACAAAAUUGGAUAAUAUCACCAGUGGAGAGAAUAUAAACAGGGAGAAAAAAAGAAGAAGAAGAGGCCCAACUUCUAGGAACUCCCAUCUUUAUAAAUUGGGGAGAUGAAGAAGAGCCAUCAAAGGAUCCUGAGGAGUUGUGGCUAGAGAUGUUGAAGGAGAACCUGGUGAGCAUGGGCUAGAAAUCAAGGAAAGAAUGUGUUUAAGGGAGAAGAGUGUCACCUUUUUCAGAUGCUGUUGCUGGAUCUUGUAUGGACAUCAGUUACCAUGUUCAUUCUUUUCUUUUUUUUAUUUUAAGUAGUCUUAAAGAGUAGAGUGGGGACAUAGUCAUACCUUCCCAGAUGAGUCUAGAGCCAUAAGAAAAGUAAGAAAAAUAUAUAGAUUAGUUAAUCAAUUAGUUAUGAUCAUAUUGCUUUAUUAAACACUCACUAAAUCAUCCUGCUACAUAAUUGAGAAAAGGAAAGAAAAUGACAAGGAAAAAAAUUCCAGUCCUGGUACUAAAUGAAUUCCCCUGGGAUACAGUGAGCUAUUCCACAUUAUCUACUAUUAACAUUUUGUAACUGAUUUUUUUUUUGGUAUGUUUUCUUUUCUUUUUUUUCAUUUUUUAUUUAUUUUAUUAUUUUUUAAAAUACACAACAACAGUGGAAUGCAUUACAAUCCUUAUUAAACAUAUAGAGCACAAUUUUUCAUAUCUCUAUAGAGUAUGUUCAAGCCAAUUUAUGCCAUUAUACAUGUACUUUUUUGCAUUACAAUUCUUAAUACACAUAUAUACCACAAUUUUUCAUAUCUCUGUUUGUAUAUAAGGUAUGUUGACACCCAAUUCAAGUCUUCAUAUGUGUACUUUGUAUAAUGAUGACCAUCACAUUUCACCAUCCUUUUACAUGAAAUCACAUAUACUGAUUUUUUGUUUCACUAUUUUACAUAAAAUAGUACAUGUUAUUAAAUAAUAUUUUAAAAAAUCAGAGUUUUAAAUGUCUCUACAAUCUCAGUGUGCACCAUUAACAUUAUGGAAUCACAGAUGUAUUUUCAUACAGGCUUUGCCCUGGUAGAAGUGGAAGUACAAGUCCCCAAGGAAGGCUGAAAAAUCUAGCCUCCUAGGAUACUUUGGUAUGGUGAGCUUUGGUAGGUGGUCUUCAGAUUACCCUCUCAGAACACUGCUUUUAAGGGUUAGGUUGAAUCUAAGAAGGUGGGACAGAUUUCCAAGACUAAGUGAGACUCUAAUUAGUUCUUAGAAAGGCUAAUAAAAAAAUGCAAUAACCAGAUUCUAGGAAAAUUUAGAGACAUGAACUUUUUAAAAAUUAUUUAAACAUUUAUAGGGACAUUCUAAGAUAAAACUAUGUAGUAUGUCACAAUCAGAAAGGACCCUGGAUAUAAUUAAGUCCAAGUUUUUAUUUUUACCUGUAAGAAUGCCAAGAUCCAAAGCUAGUGAAUUUCUUGUCUAGAGAUUAUUCAGUCCAUUAGCAGCGGAAUUCAGGCUUAAACCUAGAGUUCUUCUGUUAGAUUUAGAUAUGAGAUCUAUCCCAAAAGCUGAUGUGUAAGACAAUGCAAGAAAAAAGGUGAAGUAAUUAGGUUAUGAGAGCCUUAACCUAUUCAGUGCAUUAAUCCCCUGAUAGGGAUUAAUUGGGUGGUAACUGAAGGUGGGUAGGGUGUGGCUGGAGGAGGUAAAUCCCUGGGGGCCUUUGGGGUAUAUAUUUUGUCUUUGUUGGGUAGAGUUCUCACUCCGCUUCCUGGUGUGAUGUCCUGAACUACUUUCCUCUGCCAUAUCUUGGAUAUUCAUACCUGAGGAAUGAAUUAGCCAUCUGUGGACUGAAACUUCUGAAACCGUGAAGCCCAAAUAAACUUUUUGUACUUAAAAUUGUUCUUGUCAGGUCUUUUAGUCACAGCAGCAAGAAACUGACUAAAACUCAUUCUGAAAUUGGUUAUUAAAAUCUGCAACACUAGCUUUUUUGAGCAUGCUUUAUUUUACCCUGAAAAACUGCUUCAUCAUAGGCCACCUGCAGUGAAAGGUGAAACAGAGCUUAAUUUAACAUCCUUCUUCAAAGUAAGGCUUUGUGGGCAUAAAGAAAGCCCUAAAUUUGGAGUCCAGAGGCAUUCAUUCACAUCUCAGUUUUUCCAUUUCCUCUUUGACCAUAAUAAACCACGUAACCAUUCUAUGACUUGCUGUGUGUGUGUGUGUGUGUUUUCCAGUUGAAAAAUAGGUAUAGAAUACAUCCUUUUACCUGAUGGGGUAUUUUGAGAUCUCAUCAAUGUAAAAGUACUAUGGAAACUAAAGCAUGUAAAGAUGGGGACUUGUUAUUUUUAUUAAGAUUUCACAAGGACCUAGUUUCUAUAUUCUACAAAGACAUUUAUUGCCUUUACAGAAAGAUCCAUGUGUGUUUCAUUCUUCUGUUCUUCUAUAAGAAGUGAAGAAUAAAUAUGUGCUAAAUAGUGGAGAGCUUUUAUCACCUUUAGCAAAGGGAAUAUUCAUGAUAAUUCUCCAUGUGAGAGGUGGGAUAAUAGUUACUGUUAGGCUUGCAGUGUUUAUGUGGGUUCACUCAUAGGGCUUUUAAGCUAAAAAUAGGAGGGAACUCUUGUCUGAUGUUCCCUCUAACUGAAAUGUGGUAUCAGUAGGCAUGGUAAAAGAAGAAACAAAAGUGACCGUGAGCCUGAAACAACAUGCUGUUCUCAUCAGAGAGUAUUUUAAUCUUAUUUUAAGGCUCUUUGGACAUGAUAUUUUUAUUUGAGAACAAUAGAACUUUUUGCCCUUUAUAUAGCCCUGUUUUGGUGCUAACAAUGAAAUUUACCAUAGUGCUGUCAUUGUGUUUUUUUCCACAUUUGCCAAUGGAUUUUUUAUGGCAUACUUGUUUUAAAUGUGGAAAACAAGGUAGGGGUUGCAUACAGUAAAAUGACAAACAUAUGGAAUCGAUUCUUCAUGUUGUUGAUAUCUCUGAUUUGUUAGGUUGAACUUGAGAAUCUUCAGAUUGCUCCAGCCUAUUUACUUUUAAUGUAAGACAGUGAUGGAAUAGAAAUAAAUACUCAUUUUUUUAUUUAUUAACAAUGUAUGGGAAAGUUAAAUGAAAUCAGCAUUAGGGAUCUCAAAACUCAGAAAGGAUCCUCUAGAGAUCUUUGCCCACAGUCCUUAUUUCACAUUGCCCCAAUGUUAUCCAGGCUUAGAAAGUGAUUACUAGAUCUUUUGGGCAAUAAUUAAUGGCUUUUUAUUCUGUAAAAACAUAUAAUAUUCCAGACAAUAUUAAGAAGUUUCAUGUAAAAUUGUCAGCUCAUAGAAUACAUCUGCUUUCAGGAUGAGGUCUGAAGACCAGACUAUUUUUAGAGCAGUUACUACAUUCCAAAUUUAAUGCCGCACACAGAGAAUGCUCAGAAUAUACUUAUUCACAAAAUGUGUGUCCUUGAAAGACUGCUUUUGAAAGCUGUGGGCAGGAACUUCUGGGAAAUGGAUGGGGGUGGCAAUAUAUUCUGAUUCCACUUUAAAGACCAAAAAUAAAAUCCCCAAUAAAAACAAGGCAUUAAAUCUAGCCAGACACACUUCCCCAGCCUAUCUUUAUGAAAUUGGCUGCUUAAGGUCUAUCAUGUUUGUACCAGUAAAAGGACUGGUGAAGAAUUUACUUUGUGAGAAUGUAAGGUGUGCUCAGCCCACAGUACCAUCUCACAGAACCAAAUUUUCAUUGCCCAAGUCACAUAAUGAUAAACACAAAAGAGACACUUAACCUAUAGUUAAAUGGAUUUUUAUUCUAUAAAACAUGCACAUUAUUGUAGAUUGUAUUUAGAAAAUGCAUGUGACACUGCCAGUGUAUGAAAAAAGUAGAAGUUGUCUAGGACAGGGAGAAGAAGGAGCAAAGGACACAGCAGGAGAUAUUUCAACUCAGAACUAAUGGAAACCAGAGCUUAUGGGGCAAUGCAGACUUAAUUCGGUGUCACUUUGAGGUCUCUACAUGUUACAAUAUGAAUUAAAUCCCCCCAAAUUUGUAUUUUUGCAUUCAUGGUUUUCUAAUCAUUUCAUAUGGUUUUAUUUGUCUUCCCAACAAUGUUACAUGUUAUUAGAAGGCAGUUUCUCAGCAUUCUACCACUUUGGUUUUGUCAGUAGCACCCAAGCAUAUUGAGCUUAUUGUUUUUGAGCCUUUAAGAUUCAUGAUACAGCAUACUAGUAUACGCAAAGCCUUUAGUAAUAAUCAGCAAUUAUUUUGUUGGUAGUAGCAAAACAGUAGCAUCAAAAGUAUUGGCUUAAAAAUAUUAGUAUCUUCAGCUAUGCAACUAAUUUUUUAAAAUACUUUUUAUUUGUUCUAAUUAAUUAUACAUGACAACAGAAUGCCCUUUGAUAUAUAGAAGGAGUAUAAUUUCUUAUUCUUUUGGUUGUACAUGAAGUAGAAACCCACUGGUCAUAUAGUUAUAUAUGUACAUAGGGUAAUAAUGUCUGAUCAUUCUACUAUCCUUCCUACCCCCAUACUCCCUCCCCUAAUAUCUUGUUCUAUUUUUGCAGACUGACAAACUUUUGAAACAGUUUCCCAAUUCUGGGAUAUAUAAUAAUCUGUAAUAGAGAUUGUGCUGUACAAUAUUUAUGCUAGGGCUGUGUGUGUGUGUGUGUGUGUAUGUGUGUUUUGAGCAGCAAUAUUUACAUUUAUUGAGAUAUACUUUCUUUGCAUGUAUUUUCUCAUAUAGUCUUUAUCAACCUUAUGAUAAAUGCUACUGUUUUAUCCACAGAUGUAGGGUCCUGUUAAGGAACCAGCAGAGUUCACACAGCUAAUAAGCACAGAACCCUGGAAUAAACCAGUAAUGGUUAAGAUAACAGCAAUUGCUACAACAAGCAAAUUCUCAAAUGCAUAGUUGAUCACACACAAUAGUAGUGUAGUUCUCGUUCACAUUGAGAACUCACCUCGCACACAAAAUUGAGGUUUCUGAUUGGCAAAGGACUCUCCUCUAGAUGAUGAUAUGGGAUCUCAGACUCCUCCUAUCUCAUAAGCCUUUGGAUCAUCAGAAAGAGUCUGGAGAAUGGUGCAUAGAAUGAUAUUGUGCCAGAUCUUCUAUCAUGGUGCUUUUCACUUUAGUCCAUUGACCUGAUGUCAGUCACAUAGCCAUACCUAACUGCAAAGGAGGCUGGGAAAUGUAGCUUUCCGCCCACCCCCACCACCCCAGAAAGAAGAAUAGGUAACCAAGAACUCCAGGUAUUCUGAUUCUGUAGCUCAUGCUCAUGGCCAUUAUGAUGCCUCUGUAGAUUAAUUUUAGAAUUGGACAUAAUAUGUGGAAUACAUAAAGCAUUUGUUUAGCCACUGGUUGAUGAGUACACCUCUACUCUGUUUUGCAAUGCUGUUUUGUAAAUCUCUCCACUGCUAAGUGUUUUGCCAGUGUCAUUUAUUCUAUUUGUAAAUGCCUGCAUUGCUUUGACUUUAGUAUCUUGCUUUCAAGUUUUCUACAUUAAAAAAAGAAAACCAAACCCUCAUAAUUAUGAAACUGGUGAACAAAAUAUUUCCAAGAGAUUAUUUUGGAUGAUGUCUGUCUAGAUUUUGUUUUUCUAACUCCACCAAAGUAGGAUAAUGACUUGUUUAAGAGAGUCUUCCUUUGACUCCCAUGGAAGAUCUCAAACAAAUCUCCCAAAGUGGAAAAAUGGUCAUAUGUUGAGUAGAGAGGCAGAGGAUUAAAAUAUAACCACUAAAUAAGGCUUUAGACUUUUAAAUAGUGUAUUUCAAUUUUCCUUAAAACCACAGAAGAGCAGUCCCUCAGGUGGUCUUCAAGAAUUUUAUCAUGUGAAUGUGAAUGCCAGGAAAUAUAAGACACUACUUAGAUUCAGUAUCAAGUAAUUAUAUAAUUAUUUUUUCUUUAUUUUUAACUUUAUUAUUUUGAAAUCCUCAAGCUAAAUGUAUUUGGUUUUUAAGAGAGACAUAGCCCUAAGAAUAUUGGUUUUGAAUAGUCAGUUUAGUUUAUAAUUUAUAGUUCUUCAGGAGUGUUAACCUCAAGGAUCUAUAAGGAAUUAGCAAGAAAGCAGAGAGUUCCAGCUAUAAGAUCAUUUUAUUCCACUGGUGUAGAGCUGUUAGCAUCUGAGAAAUCUAAAGCUCUGACUCUAUUCAUAAAUAGCAUAAUCAAUUGAAAAUGGAAACAUUUAGUCAGUCUAUUCUUUAAAAAUCUAAGAAGGAUCUUUACUCUGACAAUGUAGUUUGAUUGGCUUUUUAUAUGAAAUAAGUGAUCAUGCUAGUUACACACUUUAUACUUUUUGUGUAUAUAAACACAAUCCUAGAGGGUAUAUUAUGGUCAUCUAUUCUCCGUUUCCUAUACUUUGAAAGUUCUAGGGAAUACCAAGGUAUAUGUAAGACAACCUAAAAACUGAAAAGCAAAUCAAAACCAAGAUGUCACCAGUGAGACAUUCUCAGAUGGGUGCUAUAGAACUAGGAGAAGAGCUUCUAGAUUGAAUUGUGUCCUGGAAGUCUUUCCUUCAGAAAGAUCCAGAAAAGGAUAUUAAAGGUAUGGAAUCAUGGAUAGAGAGCUAUACAACUGGGGUAUGUAGCAGGAUGACUCCAAAUGGAUUAUUCUCCUGCAUUUCAUGUGUUAUUUCUCAUGAAUUCUAAAUUACAAUAAAAUUGCACUGCUGCACUCAAAUAUUGCUGGUGGGUCUGCAAAUUGGUGUAACCACUCUGGAAAGCAGUAUGGAGACUCCUUACAAAACUUGGUAUGGAACCACCAUUUGACCUAGCUAUCCGACUCCUCAGUCUAUACCUAAAGGACUUAAAAUCAGUGUACUAUAGUAACACAGCCACAUCAAUGUUUAUAGCAGCUCAAUUCACAAUAACUAAACUGAGAAACCAAGCUAGAUGCCCUUCAAUAGAAAAAUGGAUAAAGAAAAUGUGGUAUAUAUACACAAUGGAAUAUUACUUAGCAUUAAAAGACAAUAAAAUUAUGGCAUUUGCAUAAUGCAUGGAGUUGGAGAAUAUCAUUCUAAGCAAAGUAAACCAAUCCCCCAAAAAACCAAAGGCCAAAUGUUCUCUCCAAUAAGUGGAUGCUAAUCCAUAAUGGGGGGCAGGGGCAUGGGAAAAAAAUGGAGGAACUUUGGGCAAACUCUGGGAGGUGGGGGAGAGGAGGGAGUAUGGGGGCAGGAAAGAUGGUGGAAUGAGAUGGACAUUAUUACCCUAGGUACAUGUAUGACUGCAUAUAUGGUGUGACACUACAUUGUGUACAAUCAGAGAAAUGGAAAGUUUUGCUGCAGUUGUGUAUAUGAAUCAAAAUGAAUUCUGCUGUCAUAUAUACCUAAUUAAAAUAAAUAAAUAAUUUUUUUUAAAAAUUGCACUGCUGUUUAAAUAGUUGUAGGCUCCUUGUUAAGUUCCUCUGCUGAUAGGAUACCAUUGAAUCUAUUUAGUCCUUAAACACUCAAUAUAAAAUACUUUAUUGAAUUUUUAAAUGUUGAUUUCUAAAUUCAUUGUAGAAAGUGGUCAAGAGAAAUUCAAACCCAUUUCUCUAAAGAAGUGUUUGGAGAUAAACACUCAUAUAAAACAUUUUCUUAAACAGCUCCCACUAUUUAUAUGACUUGAUGCCCCAUUGAAAUCCCCACAGAAACCUGGAAGUACCUGUGGCUUAAACUUUUUCAAACCAAGGUCACUUAUUUUCUAAUAAGUCAGAAGAUCAUGUUGAUGGAUGAAACUGGUGAAGAAUUGACAUAUGAAUAAUUAACCAUUUUAUUCUCCUCAACACCAACAUUGUUCCCACAUGUUUUAUAAUUGGGAAAUCUUCCUGGACUAGAUGAUGAUUUAGGGAAGAGACCAUCUUGAGAAAUUAAUCAUAACAACUAAUUUGUCUAGUUUUUUAUUUUGAAUAUUUAUGUUUUUUUCAAACAGUUCAAUUUAUAAAAAUCUAAAUGUAUGUGUAGUAUUUUGCCCAAGUAUAGUUGAUAAACAUCUCAAGAUCAUUGCCAACUUUUCUAAUCUCACCCCUUUUUUCCCUUCCUAACUUUCCUUGAUACUUUGUGGCUGACUUCAGCUUAUUUAGAUAAUCUGCUAUCAUAAGCUUGGCAAGGGUGGGAGUGUUAGAAAUAAUUUUUGAUUGGCCAUCUGUGUUUUUGUAAACCUCAGGAGAUUGCUGUCAAGUCCCCUGGUCGAUGGAACAGGAGUUCCCUCCUUCGGUGCUGAACUUUUCUGUGGUCAGCAGGAAAUCCAUUGCUUUAAUACCACCAUUCCCAAGACAAUUUUUAAAUUAUCUGCUUUGAAAUGUUGGAACUCUUCAAUCUUUUUUAAACACUCCAUUUAUUCUCUUUGUCCUCUGAUGCCUGAACCAUCAUGACUUCCAGGUGAUCCCUUUAGAUUCUCCCUGAAUUGCUGGGAAGUCUGAGAACAGAUUUUCCUGUGAGCAUCUCUGUUAAGAAUAGAUUGUUGGUUAAUCUACUUGCAAAAUUCCAAUCUAUUUAUGAAUAGAAUAGUGGUGUUGAUGUUUUUCCUAUGCAAUCUCUAUCAUGGAUUAAUUUCUUGUGAGUUCCUUCUCUUAUGAAUAGCUAUAUGGAUCAGGUAGUAAUUUGUCAUUUCUGCUUUCUUUCUUUCUUUCUUUCUUUCUUUUUUGUAAUUGUGGUAAAACAUACAUGAGUUGGCUUUACCAUUUUAACCAAUUUUAAGGGUAUAUAGUUCAGUGGUAUUAAAUAUAUUCACUUGAAUGAAACCAUUACCACUUUCAUCUCUGGAGCUUUUUCAUCAUCCCAAAUGGAAAUUUUGGACCCAUUAAAAAGUAUCUCCCAUCCUAUUCUCUCCCAAGCCGCUGGCAACCACAUUGCAUUUUAUAGCUAUGAAUUUGACUAAUAGGUGCCUGUUAUGGUUUAAAUAGAAGAUGUCUCCCAAAAGUUUCUGUGUUAAUACAGGAGUGUUUGAUGGUAAAGUGAUUGUAAUGUGAGAACUUUAACCUAAUCAGUCCAUCCUACUUUGAAUGGACUGACUGAGUGAUAACUGUAUGCAGGUGGGGUGUGGCUGGAGAAGGGUUCUAUCCUGGAGGGAUUAUUCUUCCCUCUCUUUCUCUGCUUCUUUGCUACCAUGAGGGGAGCAGCUUUUCUCCACCGUGCUCUUCCACCAUGAUACUCUACCUCACCUUGGACCCAGAGCAAUAGAGUUGGUCAUCUAUAGAUUGAGAACUCUGAAAACAUGAGCCCCAAAUAAACUUUCCCUCCUCUAAGUUGUUUUUGUCACAGAUUUUGGUCACCAUGGAAAGCUGACUAAAACAGUACCUCAUAUAAAUAGAACCAUACUAUUUUUGUCCUUUUCUGUCUGGCUUAUUUUACUUAGCGUGUUUUCAAGAUUCACUCAUGUUGUAGCAUGGGUCAGAAUUUCAUUCAUUUUUAAGGCUGAACAAUAUUCCAUCAUAUGUAUAUACCAUAUUUUGGGUUACUUUCAUCUUUUGCCUAUUGUGAAUAAUCUGGUGUGAACAUUGGUGUACAUAUAUCUGAGUCAUUGCUUUCACUUUUGUGGGGGAAGAGUAUAUUUCCAGAAGUGGAAUUGUUACAUGAUAAUGCUAUGUGUAAGCUUUUGAGGAACCACCAUCCCAUCUUUUAUUCUUAAUCCAUGUCAUAGCUGCAUGCCUAUAUUCCUGACUAAAGGAUGAGAUUAGAGAUGGAACUGACUGAGGGACUCAGGAUUUUUUGUUUGUUACUUUAGGAAGACCUUAAAUAAACGUUCUGAUGGAUGAUGACUUGGAAAAAAAUUCUCAAUCCAUGGUACAAAUGACUAAAAGUAAAAACAGUCUCAUCAAUGUUGAACUCCAGGAAUUGUGGGAUUUGAGAUUUUUGUGCGUGGAGUGACAAUGUGUGCUGAUCAGCAGGACAAAAAAAAAAAAAAAAAAAACUUCCUCUUUUAAGUUCCCUCCCCACACACAGAUUAAUGAGGCAUCACAAGAAACAAAAGUUCCAUAAGUUUGUUUUACUAGAACUUCUUAGGUUUGAUAUACUUACGUGGUGAGACCCAAAUUUGGCUAUCAGCUACAGUAAUUAGAACAGAUUCUGAGGCAUGAUUCUUGGUGGCCUGAGUCAGGUGAAUGAAUUCAAGGAUACUUGGAUUCUAAGAGGUAUCAUAGAGACCUCCUUGCCCAGCUUCACCUCCAAAUUCAACCCACCUCACCCUUGUACAUUAUAGAUUGCUUCCUGGCUUGCACACAGAAAAACUAAGUACCCCAAACCAUUUCCUAUUCUUCAUUAUUUUCCAGAUUAUUGACUUUUGUCAGCUACUCUUACUGGACUUGUGCAGUCAGCCUCUGAGGAGUGUCUGCCCUCACACUAUAAACCAAAUGGCUUGUUAUUCCACAUAAACUUAUACCUGCUUCAUUUUUGGUUGCAUAGAAGCGUGUAGUCCUACCCUGGGUGUAGCCUAACAAUCUUAUUCCAUGGACUUGAACUCACUGUGGUUCAGUCCUUAGGAAAAGCUGUUUAGAGAAACAGAAUUAAAGAGGAUUAACUGAAUGUUAUGCCACUCCUUCGUUUUUCCUGAUAUUUUUCUGUCCCUGGAUUAAGCCAGAUCUCUCUCUCUCUCUCUCUCUCUCUCUCACACACACACACACACACACACACAUACACACACACACACACAAAAGGAAUUCCUGGCUGAUACUGCCCUGACCUGUGGAUAGCAUUUACUGUCUUCCACUUGGGCCUCAGCCUCCUUUGAGUGACAUUGUUACAAUCAGCACGGCACAACUUGUCUUCACUCAUCCACUCUACCCAGCACCCUUUUUAUGUAUACCCAGAGGAGAAAUGUCUCCUUGGCCCCAGAGCUAAGAACAGAUGCUCUCAUCUGAGCAAUUGGUUGCUGUGAUCCUGUACACUACCUGACCCAUCUACCUGAUCUUGGCCUGAAGGAAACUGAGAAGCACAGCAGCAUCCUGCCUCCAACAUGGAUACAGAACUCCUGAGUCUAGAUUUUAUGUGUUAAUCUCACUUUUGUCUGUCCCUUGUUUUGUAAGUUCUUAGUUUUGUUUUACCUCAUUUCCUUAUUCACUUUAGGUUAUUGAAUCAUCUUAAUUCUUGUAAGCUACUUAAAUCUUUUAAGGAAUAAAUUGGGAUAUAAACAUGGAUUAAGCAUUCUCAGUUGUUUUGAAUAUUUAAAGGACAAAAGGUAAAUAAAUUAUUAGUCUUUAGAUAACUAGAAUAUGUUCAAUAUUGUUGGCAUUAAAACCAUUACUGUUGUGGAUAUGAUUAAACUGUACAUUGGGCACUGUCAGGGGCCUUGGCUGUCUUGAUCACAUCUGCAUCUCUACUGACUGGUGUUGUGCUUGGCUUAUAGCAGAUGCUCAGGAGCAAAGUGAAUGUCACUUGGAGUUCACUCCACCUUUCUCAGAAGUGGAGGGACACUGUUGGCACCUCUGACCUCUGCUUUCUGCUUUCCCUUUUCUGCAGACUCACAUUUCAAGACUCCCUCCUGGUGCAGUUGCAGGACAGUCGGUUGCAAUCGAAGGUGGGGUUUGCCGCCUGGAGAGCCCAGUGAACUGACCCUUCAGGCCAAGCAUGAAGUGUCUGAAAAGUGUUUCAGAAGCUGAGCUUUUGGGGUUUUUAAUGGAAGUUGGAUGUUUUAUCUUCCUUGUUUUAUAAUUCCUAUUCAACCUCAUGUACCGCUCAAGACACAAGUGCUGCUGCAGUUAGCGCUUAGUGACAAGUGGUCCUUUGGUGGGUGAGUGUGUGUGGGUGCUGGGUGUGGGUGCCUGUGGGUAUGUAGAUAUGCGUGUUCGCACGCAUGUGUGUAUGUAUCUGCAGAGUGUGUGCUUGCUUCUCCCUUAAUGAAAUAGAAACUCCUCAUUGUGUAACCUAAGACCAGGAAUGAUUAAAUCAUCUUUACAAAAUGUGUGCUUUAACUGUUUACAAGUAAAACCUAAAGUUACAGGAAACAUUUUUUAUUUUGUAAAGAGGUACCAGCUGUCAUUGAUGUAGUGUGUCUGAUUUAUAGAGUAAAUCUAUUUGUUUAAAUGAUUUGACAGUGGUAGUGCUCCAUUUAAUAACAGUAAUAAGUAAUAAGGUGUUUUUAUUUGUUAACCAGUUUAAGUGGAUCCUGUGGUAACUUAAACUGUUGUUUUCAUCCCUCAUAUGGGGCAUUUUUCUUUAACAAAGAAUGGUUUCAGUGAAACAAUCUAGCAGAGAAUUAAGGUCAGAACCUUUUUAAAUAAUAGUCUUAUUUGAGAAAGUUUGUACUUCUUUCCUCAGCUUUUCUAAGCUUAAAUAUUGCAUAGCUUCGAGCUAUAUGUACUAUAUUAUGAAAGAAUAUGUAAAGAGAACAUACAAUAAUGCACAGUCCUUAAUUUGUGUAUAAUGGAAUGUUAUUUACAAUGUAACACUGUAAAUAAGAAAGCAAAGUUUAUGGGAAAAUUCAAUAUUUGUUUCUUGUUUAAAUAUAUUUUUAAGAUAAAGGCACAAAAAUAAAAGAAGCGUAUUACUGGGUAUAGUGUGUGACUUCUCUUCUCAGACUAAUAAAUUAUCUUUUGAACCCUAGAUCGGA